GAGUUUGAUCCUGGCUCAGAUUGAACGCUGGCGGCAGGCCUAACACAUGCAAGUCGAGUGGUAACAGAUCCAGCUUGCUGGAUGCUGACGAGCGGCGGACGGGUGAGUAAUGCAUAGGAAUCUGCCCGAUAGUGGGGGAUAACCUGGGGAAACCCAGGCUAAUACCGCAUACGUCCUACGGGAGAAAGGGGGCUCCGGCUCCCGCUAUGGGAUGAGCCUAUGUCGGAUUAGCUAGUUGGUGAGGUAACGGCUCACCAAGGCCACGAUCCGUAGCUGGUCUGAGAGGAUGAUCAGCCACAUCGGGACUGAGACACGGCCCGAACUCCUACGGGAGGCAGCAGUGGGGAAUAUUGGACAAUGGGGGCAACCCUGAUCCAGCCAUGCCGCGUGUGUGAAGAAGGCCCUCGGGUUGUAAAGCACUUUCAGCGAGGAAGAACGCCUAGCGGUUAAUACCCGCUAGGAAAGACAUCACUCGCAGAAGAAGCACCGGCUAACUCCGUGCCAGCAGCCGCGGUAAUACGGAGGGUGCAAGCGUUAAUCGGAAUUACUGGGCGUAAAGCGCGCGUAGGUGGCUUGAUAAGCCGGUUGUGAAAGCCCCGGGCUCAACCUGGGAACGGCAUCCGGAACUGUCAAGCUAGAGUGCAGGAGAGGAAGGUAGAAUUCCCGGUGUAGCGGUGAAAUGCGUAGAGAUCGGGAGGAAUACCAGUGGCGAAGGCGGCCUUCUGGACUGACACUGACACUGAGGUGCGAAAGCGUGGGUAGCAAACAGGAUUAGAUACCCUGGUAGUCCACGCCGUAAACGAUGUCGACCAGCCGUUGGGUGCCUAGCGCACUUUGUGGCGAAGUUAACGCGAUAAGUCGACCGCCUGGGGAGUACGGCCGCAAGGUUAAAACUCAAAUGAAUUGACGGGGGCCCGCACAAGCGGUGGAGCAUGUGGUUUAAUUCGAUGCAACGCGAAGAACCUUACCUACUCUUGACAUCCUGCGAAUUUGGUAGAGAUACCUUAGUGCCUUCGG
rnacentral:rRNA from 1 species